UAACCCUGGGAGUGGGCAGAGAGAUACAUUGUUGAUGGUGGGGUUCUUAUAUCAGUCAGGGCGAGAGCGGAUGGCAGACCAUUGUUUAUCCUAGCUUGAUGCUUGGCUUGGCAGUCAAAGGUGUUUCAUGCCUAGGGCUCAAAA